rnacentral:rRNA from 1 species
UACGGGGGGGGCAAGCGUUGUUCGGAAUUACUGGGCGUAAAGGGUUCGUAGGUGGCCAACUAAGUCAGACGUGAAAUCCCUCAGCUUAACUGGGGAACUGCGUCUGAUACUGGAUGGCUUGGAUUCGGGAGAGGAAUGCGGAAUUCCAGGUGUAGCGGUGAAAUGCGUAGAUAUCUGGAGGAACACCGGUGGCGAAGGCGGCAUUCUGGACCGACAUU